GACGGAGGAUGCAAGUGUUAUCCGGAAUCACUGGGCGUAAAGGGUCUGUAGGUGGUUUUUUAAGUCUGCUGUUAAAGCUUGAGGCUCAACUUCAAAAAUGCAUCGGAAACUAGAAGACUUGAGUAUGGUAGGGGUAGAGGGAAUUUCCAGUGAAGUGGUGAAAUGCGUAGAUAUUGGAAAGACCACCAAAGGCGAAGGCACUCUACUGGGCCACAACUGACACUGAGAGACGAAAGCUAGGGGAGCGAAUGGG
rnacentral:rRNA from 1 species